rnacentral:rRNA from 1 species
UACGGGGGGGGCGAGCGUUGUUCGGAAUUACUGGGCGUAAAGGGUUUGUAGGUGGCUUGUUAAGUCAGACGUGAAAUCCCUCAGCUUAACUGGGGAACUGCGUCUGAUACUGGCGAGCUUGAGUGCAGGAGAGGAACGCGGAAUUCCAGGUGUAGCGGCGAAAUGCGUAGAUAUCUGGAGGAACACCGGUGGCGAAGGCGGGUCUCUGGGCCGAUACUGACGCUGAGGAGCGAAAGCGUGGGGAGCAAACAGG